ACACUCCUACGGGAGGCAGCAGUAGGGAAUCUUCCACAAUGGGUGCAAACCUGAUGGAGCAAUGCCGCGUGAGUGAAGAAGGUCUUCGGAUCGUAAAGCUCUGUUGUUAGAGAAGAACACGUGCUAGGUAACUACUAGCGCCUUGACGGUAUCUAACCAGAAAGUCACGGCUAACUACGUGCCAGCAGCCGCGGUAAUACGUAGGUGACAAGCGUUGUCCGGAUUUAUUGGGCGUAAAGGGAGCGCAGGCGGUCUGUUUAGUCUAAUGUGAAAGCCCACGGCUUAACCGUGGAACGGCAUUGGAAACUGACAGACUUGAAUGUAGAAGAGGAAAAUGGAAUUCCAAGUGUAGCGGUGGAAUGCGUAGAUAUUUGGAGGAACACCAGUGGCGAAGGCGAUUUUCUGGUCUAACAUUGACGCUGAGGCUCGAAAGCGUGGGGAGCGAACAGGAUUAGAUACCCGGGUAGUCCCAUG
rnacentral:rRNA from 1 species